rnacentral:rRNA from 1 species
CCUACGGGUGGCAGCAGUGAGGAAUAUUGGUCAAUGGACGCGAGCCUGAACCAGCCAAGUAGCGUGAAGGAUGACUGCCCUCUGGGUUGUAAACUUCUUUUAUAAAGGAAUAAAAAGAGGCACGUGUGACUUUUUGCAUGUACUUUAUGAAUAAGGAUCGGCUAACUCCGUGCCAGCAGCCGCGGUAAUAUGGAGGUUCAGAGCGUUUUCCGGAUUUAUUGGGUUUAAAGGGAGCGUAGAUGGGUUGUUAAGUCAGUUGUGAAAGUUUGCGGCUCAACCGUAAAAUUGCAAUUGAUACUGGCAGUCUUGAGUACAGGUGAGGUAGGCGGAAUUCGUGGUGUAGCGGUGAAAUGCUUAGAUAUCACGAAGAACCCCGAUGGCGAAGGCAGCUUACUAAACUGUGACUGACAUUGAUGCGCGAAAGUGUGGGUAUCAAACAGGAUUAGAUACCCCAGUAGUC